GAAUUUGGAGAUGAGUGCCUCUGUGAUAUGUUUUUCUGGCUAUGUUAUAUAUUUUCAACUAUUGCUUGGCUUAAUUUGGCAAUCUGAACUUAGAUUUGAACAUUUCUGCAUUCAUGCUUCUCUGAAAGCUUGGGCGAGAUUAUCGGUAUUCAUCAUUGGGAUAUAAUUGAUUAUUUUCUUUAUAUGUAUAUCCCGAACCUGAGUGCACGAUUUUGGAAUGAUUCUUUGCCCUUCC
rnacentral:lncRNA from 1 species